rnacentral:lncRNA from 1 species
UUCUACAUAGCUCCACCUCCAUUAAUGGCUGUCGACGCCCUGGCUCCCUUUCGUGCUCUAUAAAUCUCGCCGCCGUCUAGCGCGCCCUGCUCCUUAUGCCGUCACCGCUUCACCUCCCGGCGUUAUGGAGCACUCACCACCGCUCGUCCGAUUCAUCUCCCCAACCCAGUCGUACUCUCCACCACUGCCGCCACCACUCCUCUUCUCUGCGAUGACAGUUUCUCCUUGCCAUUAAUGGCAUUUCGUGAGGACGUUUCUCUACGACAAUCAAAUUCGAGGCCAUGAUUUCCUUCUACCAGCCUAUAAAUGGUGCUGAGCUUCAUCCCUUUUCUCCCUGCUCGACACUUGCUCCAGCUGCUAAGUCACUCGCCUCGCUUCUCUCCCUUCGUGCUCUGAGUUCCUUAUUGUCGUGCCGUGCGCUGCAGGCUGCCAUCCGAGUUCUCUGCUCGUUCAUCGAUUGCCACUCCUACUCGGCGUCAUUGUUGUGGCGUGCUGCUGUGCUCCUUCACCGUCGACGCCCUGCUGUCUGUGAAUUUUCCUCGUCGGAGCACUAUCGGUGAAGCCACGACAUCAUCGUUGUUCUUCAUCGCCAUGCCCAAGCUCACCCAGCGACCUCAUCGUCAUCCGUUCCCUAUUCGUCCACACACCGUCAUCUUCUGUGCCCCGGUGCCACCGGAAUUUCGCUUGCUAGACAUCACCGGAGUUCCCCACUCUGCUCAUCGUCGAUCCACACGUACUGUUCGUCGCCAACGACCACGCCGAAUUCAUCGACCCCGCCAUUAUCGUCCCCUGCUCCUCCUACGUUAACCCCUCCCUGCACGUGAUAGGUAGAUGAAGGUCCUUUUUAUGUGCUAACCCCUAUCAUCUACUAUUAAUCGUGUUUUAGCCCUGUGAUAGUUUUUCUAUUUUAAAAAUGUUUAUUGCUUAAUUAAAAUCCAAAUAAAUUGAAUGUUGAGCUUCAUAAGUUUGUGCUAAACACUUUAAAUUAGUGUUGCAACAAUUUACAUGUUUCAUUAAUUUAAUUUGAAACAUGAUCGUUAUGUUUGAUUCAUAUGUAGUUGUCAAAUUAAGAUAUUAAAAAGAAUUAUAUCCUUUAUGUUUUAAUAAAAAAGAGACAUUUGCUUAUAAUAAUAUCUGCGCACAAAAAUACAAAUUUAUUGGCUACCCCUCCAGUCUACCAUUAUUUAUGUGUAGAUCCCUGUUAGAACUAAUUAUAAAAUAAAUAUAUAUUAGGAAUCUAAAUAAAUUAGGAAUGAUUUUGUUAGUUUCACAAUUAUGUGAUAAACAUUUUAAUUAGUGUUUUCAAUUUGAAUUAUGGUUGUUAUACAAGAAAUAUUAAAAUGGCCUUUUCAAUGAAUAUCAUGUUUUCAUAAUUUAACAAUGUUCAUUAUAGAUGUUUAAUUAUAGCUUUCUUAAAUAGAAAUUUAAAAUAAAAAUAUAGACCAUGUCAUAAUAAGAUAACUACAUAUCUUUCGCCACAAAUGUUGAUUUAGAUUUAUACACAAGUUUUCUUAAAUAAGAUGCGUUAUAUGUUUGUCAAAAUAAGGUAUGCCAUAUAGCUUUUUCUAAAAUAAGUGUUAACAUGGAUUAAUUAGUGUUCUUGCUUUUAUAAAUUAAAAUGAUAGUUUAUAUAAUGUCCAAUUCAGUUUCCGUAUUAAUGAAUUAGAUCAUUUGUUCCUAUAUUAAAAUGACUUAAUUAGUUUUCUAGGCAUGAUUAAUCGUCCAUCAAAUUGAGUCCAUAUUAUUUACGUAUAUCAUUUAGUUUUUCCUAAAGGAUGAAAUAAAUAAAUUAGUGUUCAUAUUCUUUUUCUAAUUAAAAUGUUAGUUUACAUAUUGACCUUGAAUAUAUCUUUCUUAAUAAUAAUACAUGGCAUGUCUUUUCUUAAUAAAAAUAAAGAUAAUUAUUUGUUUCAUUAUCUUUCCACAUAAAACAUGUUUAGGCUUAUAUAUUAACUUCUCACCAAUUAAUGUUUAAUAAUGUGUUUCAUAAUCUUUUAUCCCAUAGCCUUAGUUAUUCAAUAUAACUUUUCUAAAAAAAUUAAAAAGGUUCACCAAACAUUCAUAAAAUUAUAGUUAAGAUAUUGUCAAGCUUAGGUCUUGUUUUAUAAAAUGGACCAAACCUUUUGCAAACGAACGCCUUUUUGUUAUAACCAUUGCUUGUGAUGUUUUUGAAAAGCAAAUGCUCUUUUCGUUAUGCUUUGUUUUAGCUUUGUCUAUGGUGAAUGAUGUAUGUUAUUGAGUGGUGUGUUUCUUGUUUGCUUGUGUGAUAUUCAGUGAUUGAUCUAGUAGUUGAGAAUCAAGAUCUAUUCCAUGGAAGGAUCUCAAGUUUUCUAUUAGCAAGGCAAGUGGACUUCUCCCUCUUCAUACUCUGUUUGAUCCCAAACAAUACAUUUAUUUACUCUUGGAUAUAUGCAUAAUUUGAUGGGUUACCUAUUCAAAUACACAUAACCUUUCCAACCUUAUUCCUUGAUCAAACCUGGGUAUUGUACUUUACCUUAGUAGCUAUGCUAUUGCUACAACUUUAACUUUAUGCAGUCACUCAUCUUUAUGAUAUUAAUGUUUCAAAUAGUAAGUUUACAUUAUUUUUGUUAAUCCGAUGAUUAAGCAAGAUCAUAUGAUUUAAUAGGAACAUGGAGUGACCACCUAGGAAAACAGUGCUACCAUGAGGGUGGUAUGGGACGCCCUUAGCUAAAUAACUAGGGAAGUCUUGGGUGUUGGUCGUGGUCGACCGGAACAGGGGUAUCUGUCAAGCGCUUAUAUUUUUGGCUCAGGCAGAUUGGAUACGGGCAUAGUUCCCAAGCUUUACCCUGCGGACUGGACUAUAAGUUGGGUUACGUCAGAUGUGCUCUAUGAAGUUUGACCAUUUCCAACAUCUGCAUAGUGAGGACUCUUGGGAAAAGCCUCGUAGUGAGACCCUAGCCAGUUACCUCGAAAGUGAAUACAGGACUUGCAAACCCGGGCUAGAAGGGAAUCAUGACUCAUGGGUAAAGAUGCGCCACCUCUGUAGAGUGUAAAACUGAUAUAUCAGCCGUGCUCACGGUUAUGAGCAGCAUAGACCCUCACAUGAUAAUUGAACUUGAAGAUGAAAAAUAAAUCGUGACCAGUUUUGUUUAAGCGGUAUGCUUAAGUGGUUUUGCUCAAGUGGUUGAGCUUCAUGUUGAUGAUAUUUCGGUUCAAGUGGUUCUGAGAUUUAUGUUGAUGAUAUAUAUGCUGAUGAAUAUUGCUUAUGCUUAAUAUGGGUUUGGUAUAUACUUAUACCUAGUAAUCAGGUGUUGAUAAUAAAAUGUUGACCAACUAAAAUGCUAACCACAUUAAACUUUAGCGUUACCUUGUUACCUUGCAUUUUCACCCCACUUGCUGAGCCCCGACCAUAAGUGAACUCACCCUUGAUUAAUUUUGAUCAGAAGUUUGCAGAUGAAGAUAUGAUGGUGAACUUGAUGAAUGCUAGUCUAGUGAUACCCCCGGUCAUCUUCCUGUGGAAGGAUGUCCAUGUUUCGCUAUACUUUGAUGAAUAAAGGUUAA